rnacentral:rRNA from 1 species
CCUACGGGAGGCAGCAGUGGGGAAUUUUCCGCAAUGGGCGAAAGCCUGACGGAGCAACGCCGCGUGAGGGAUGAAGGCCUCUGGGCUGUAAACCUCUUUUAUCAAGGAAGAAGAUCUGACGGUACUUGAUGAAUAAGCCACGGCUAAUUCCGUGCCAGCAGCCGCGGUAAUACGGGAGUGGCAAGCGUUAUCCGGAAUUAUUGGGCGUAAAGCGUCCGCAGGCGGUCUUGUAAGUCUGUCGUUAAAGCGUGGAGCUCAACUCCAUUUCGGCGGUGGAAACUACAAGACUAGAGUGUGGUAGGGGCAGAGGGAAUUCCCGGUGUAGCGGUGAAAUGCGUAGAUAUCGGGAAGAACACCAGUGGCGAAGGCGCUCUGCUGGGCCAUAACUGACGCUCAUGGACGAAAGCUAGGGGAGCGAAAGGGAUUAGAUACCCCUGUAGUCCUAGCCGUAAACGAUGAACACUAGGUGUCGGGGGAAUCGACCCCCUCGGUGUCGUAGCUAACGCGUUAAGUGUUCCGCCUGGGGAGUACGCACGCAAGUGUGAACUCAAAUGAAUUGACGGNUGNGAGUUGCGAGCGACGACGAGGAGNG